GGUACAUCGGUGACAGGUGGUGCAUGGUUGUCGUCAGCUCGUGUCGUGAGAUGUUGGGUUAAGUCCCGCAACGAGCGCAACCCCUACUGUAGUUGCCAUCAUUCAGUUGGGCACUCUAGCGAGACUGCCGGUAAUAAACCGGAGGAAGGUGGGGAUGACGUCAAAUCAUCAUGCCCCUUAUGACCUGGGCUACACACGUGCUACAAUGGUUGGUACAACGAGUUGCGAGUCGGUGACGGCGAGCUAAUCUCUUAAAGCCAAUCUCAGUUCGGAUUGUAGGCUGCAACUCGCCUACAUGAAGUCGGAAUCGCUAGUAAUCGCGGAUCAGCACGCCGCGGUGAAUACGUUCCCGGGCCUU
rnacentral:rRNA from 1 species